UACGGGGGGAGCAAGCGUUGUUCGGAUUUACUGGGCGUAAAGGGCGCGUAGGCGGUCAGCACAAGUCAGUUGUGAAAUCUCCGGGCUUAACUCGGAAAGGUCAACUGAUACUGUGCGACUAGAGUGCAGAAGGGGCAACUGGAAUCCUCGGUGUAGCGGUGAAAUGCGUAGAUAUCGAGAGGAACACCUGCGGCGAAGGCGGGUUGCUGGGCUGACACUGACGCUGAUGCGCGAAAGCGUGGGGAGCAAACAGG
rnacentral:rRNA from 1 species